rnacentral:rRNA from 1 species
AGAGUUUGAUCCUGGCUCAGGAUGAACGCUGGCGGCGUGCUUAACACAUGCAAGUCGAACGAAGCGCUUAAACGGAUUUCUUCGGAUUGAAGUUUUUGCGACUGAGUGGCGGACGGGUGAGUAACGCGUGGGUAACCUGCCUCAUACAGGGGGAUAACAGUUAGAAAUGACUGCUAAUACCGCAUAAGCGCACAGUACCGCAUGGUACGGUGUGAAAAACUCCGGUGGUAUGAGAUGGACCCGCGUCUGAUUAGGUAGUUGGUGGGGUAACGGCCUACCAAGCCGACGAUCAGUAGCCGACCUGAGAGGGUGACCGGCCACAUUGGGACUGAGACACGGCCCAAACUCCUACGGGAGGCAGCAGUGGGGAAUAUUGCACAAUGGGCGAAAGCCUGAUGCAGCGACGCCGCGUGAGUGAAGAAGUAUUUCGGUAUGUAAAGCUCUAUCAGCAGGGAAGAAAAUGACGGUACCUGACUAAGAAGCCCCGGCUAACUACGUGCCAGCAGCCGCGGUAAUACGUAGGGGGCAAGCGUUAUCCGGAUUUACUGGGUGUAAAGGGAGCGUAGACGGCGACGCAAGUCUGAAGUGAAAUACCCGGGCUCAACCUGGGAACUGCUUUGGAAACUGUGUUGCUAGAGUGCUGGAGAGGUAAGCGGAAUUCCUAGUGUAGCGGUGAAAUGCGUAGAUAUUAGGAAGAACACCAGUGGCGAAGGCGGCUUACUGGACAGUAACUGACGUUGAGGCUCGAAAGCGUGGGGAGCAAACAGGAUUAGAUACCCUGGUAGUCCACGCCGUAAACG